rfam:Myotis lucifugus cont2.9500, whole genome shotgun sequence.
UUUUUAGCAUAAGUAUAUCCCAUGCAAUAUUUGGGAUAUGUUUAUACUAAAA